rnacentral:rRNA from 1 species
GACAGAGGGUGCAAACGUUGUUCGGAAUUACUGGGCGUAAAGCGCGUGUAGGCGGCUUUGCAAGUCGGGCGUGAAAUCCCAUGGCUCAACCAUGGAAGUGCACUCGAAACUGCAGAGCUAGAGUCCUGGAGAGGAAGGUGGAAUGCUUGGUGUAGAGGUGAAAUUCGUAGAUAUCAAGCAGAACACCUGCGGCGAAGGCGGCCUUCUGGACGAUGACUGACGCUGAGACACGAAAGCGUGGGGAGCAAACAGG